rnacentral:lncRNA from 1 species
CUCAGUGACAAUUGUUAAAGCACAGAAAGGCAGACUUUAUUCAGGAUCAUAGCAAUAAGCAUAGGGACCCUGCUACGGGAUUUUGUAGUGAAGGAGAGAGAUUGGGCUCAACUCCAAAGACAGCAUGGGCAAGUGGAAAUUUAUAGUCAAGAAGCAGGGUUGGGGUGAGUGGAUGGAAAAUUACUAAGAGGAAGCAUUAGGAGUAAGGAGGAUUCUGCUUAACUGACCUUACAAGAUUCUUGCUGAAGACAGGCCUGGACGAUCAAACGUCAACCGGGAUUAGUGGAAGAGAGGAACCCAAUCAGAUGAAGUCUAGCUCUGUCACCCAGGCUAGAGUGCUGUGAUGCGAUUUUGGCUCACUGCAAUGUCCACUUCCCAGAUUUAAGCAAUACUCCUGCCUCAGCCUCCCGAGUAGCUGAGAUUACAGGUCAAGAAAUCCUUGGAGAUUACUUGCAAAGCCUGUGUGCUCUCAUCAGCUCCUUCCCUUUCCCACCUGACCAGGAGUGCCUUCUAUGGUCCUCUGGAACAGCUGACUAAGAAGACAGCUGCCUCCUCAAGGGAGGAAGCCACCGCCUCUGUGAGUCAGUCAGUCAGUCUAGAUAUUGUCCUGUCUCAGAAAGUUUGCUGCUGGACCACAGGGGAAGCAAGUAGUAGGGGCUGCAACUCACCUCCUGCAUUGGUCUGGAUCCUUUGCAUAUCAAACACCUCCUGCUGGUAUUCCUAGAAACCACCUAUUUAACAUGAAAGCAAAGCACCAUUGUCAGCUUGAUUAAAGUACAUAAUGGAAAUAAUAAUAGUGCUUGUAGUGCUUGAUAUCUGCACGGAGCUUUAUGGAGCAUUUUUACAGGCAUUAUUAUCGUUACAAUGGGCACCAUUUAAUUCAGCAGUUGCUCUAGGCCAGACUUCGUGUUAAGUGGUUUAUACAUAUAAUUUCAUUUAAGGAGUGGGUAUCCACAAUGAGCUCUGAGAUAUGGGAAUGAGUCUUAUUAUCCCAUCUAUUUAAUGUGGAAAUUCAGGUUCAGAGAGGUUUUGUGAAUUGCCCAA